rfam:Ipomoea nil DNA, scaffold: scaffold2833, cultivar: Tokyo-kokei standard.
ACCAUAUUAGCUUAGUGGUAGAGCGCGUGGCUUUUAACCAUGUGGUAGUGGGUUCGAUCCCCAUAGAUGGUG